GCGCCCUUAGCUCAAUUGGAUAGAGCAUCUGACUACGGAUCAGAAGGUUGGGGGUUCGACUCCCUUAGGGCGUGCCA
rnacentral:tRNA from 3 species